AUUCCAGCUCCAAUAGCGUAUAUUAAUGUUGUUGCAGUUAAAAAGCUCGUAGUUGGAUUUCUGGUGGGAGCGGCCGGUCCGCCGCAAGGUGUGUACUUGGUUGUCUCCUGUCAUCCUUGUGGGAACUGCUCUGGCAUUAAGUUGUCGGGGUUAGGGAACACAUCGUUUACUGUGAAAAAAUUAGAGUGUUUAAAGCAGGCUUAUGCCGUUGAAUACAUUAGCAUGGAAUAAUAAGAUAGGACUUUGGCGUCUAUUUUGUUGGUUUGCACACCAAGGUAAUGAUUAAUAGGGAUAGUUGGGGGUAUUCGUAUUUAAUUGUCAGAGGUGAAAUUCUUGGAUUUAUGAAAGACGAACUUCUGCGAAAGCAUUUACCAAAGAUGUUUUCAUUA
rnacentral:rRNA from 1 species